AGGGCUAUAGCUCAGUUCGGUAGAGCAACUCGUUUACACACCGAGAAGGUCUACGGUUCGAAUC
rnacentral:tRNA from 1 species